rnacentral:rRNA from 1 species
GUAGCGGCGAGCGAAACGGAAACAGCCCAAACCAAGAAGCUUGCUUCUUGGGGUUGUAGGACUCAGCUGUGGUAGCUGUUGUGGAUAGUUGAAUGAUCUGGAAAGAUCAGCCGGAGCGGGUAAAAGCCCCGUAGACGAAAUCGACAACACACCUAUGAGUAUCCUGAGUACGGCGGAACACGAGAAAUUCCGUCGGAAUCCGGGAGGACCAUCUCCCAAGGCUAAAUACUCUCUAGUGACCGAUAGUGAACCAGUACCGUGAGGGAAAGGUGAAAAGCACCCCGGAAGGGGAGUGAAAUAGAACCUGAAACCGUGUGCCUACAACAAGUCAGAGCCCGUUAAUGGGUGAUGGCGUGCCUUUUGCAGAAUGAACCGGCGAGUUACGAUUGCAUGCGAGGUUAAGCUGAAGAAGCGGAGCCGUAGCGAAAGCGAGUCUGAAUAGGGCGAGUGAGUAUGUAGUCGUAGACCCGAAACCAUGUGACCUACCCAUGUCCAGGUUGAAGGUGCGGUAAACGCACUGGAGGACCGAACCCACGUACGUUGAAAAGUGCGGGGAUGAGGUGUGGGUAGCGGAGAAAUUCCAAACGAACUUGGAGAUAGC